rnacentral:tRNA from 1 species
GGAACGGUCGCAUAGUUGGUCUAGUGCGCCACAUUGGAAAUGUGGUAUGCCCGCAAGGGCAUCGCGAGUUCGAAUCUCGCCCGUUCCGCCA